rnacentral:lncRNA from 1 species
GUCCGUAUUGUGGCUUUAUUCCCCUAUACCAGGUUUUCACCAAGCAAAUGUGUGAAUUAUGGUCACAUUAAUAUGGGCCUGACCUUCCUUCUUCACCCCUGGGGUCAUUUGGUGGUCAGUUAAGAGGAAACCCAAAGGAGAGAUAAGACUUAUCUUUGCAACCCACUUUGGGUUUUCCAGGAGACGGGGGAGAAGCAGAUGCCGCAGAUGUCCAGCUAAAAAGCAGUUAUUUAAGUGGUUGAGUGACUGUUCAAUAUGAAGACUGCUUAUGCUUGAGGGGCUGCACCGGAUGGAAGUCUAGAACUUUGAGUGGUGACCUGAGAUGCUGAGCAGGCAUCCCGGCUGCUCCCAUCCUGGCUGAUCCUAGGCCUCCUUGGUCCAGGCACACCUCCUUCCCACCACUGGUGAGUCUGCUCUCCCCUCUCUGAGCCUGGCUCCUGACCUUCCCCUUGUGUCAUGGUGACUUCCUCCCCCAUCCACCCACCCAAGGCCCUCAUUUCCUUUGACCUUCAACUCCUUCAAGAAGCAUUUCCUGAAUCUCUGGGGCCCACACUGGUGACGGCCCAGCUCCCAGUUCCUCCUCACUUAGGGAGACUUGCCCUGCCAUCCUUACCAGCUCGUAUUUGCUUUGAAAGCAGGACUCAUGUGUCCUACUGGAGGGGGUCCUUCUGCAGGUCCUGCUGCAACAUCCUGUGACCCCAGAAGGGGAAUGAGGAGCCCAAGGCAUCAUUCUCCCUCUGGGCUUCACUGCCACCAAACUGGAAGCCCCUGGGCCAGUCCUCUGUGGAUCCACUUCCAUUUCCUUCCUUGUUGGAACCAUGUCCUCCUUGUUGCCUCUUCCAAGCUCAGGCUUCAGUCCUUCCUGCCCGGCUGGAUCCCGUCCCAAGGGCCCUGCAAUGAAAUCUAUUUUUAAC